GACGAACGCUGGCGGCGUGCUUAACACAUGCAAGUCGAACGAUGAAGCUGGAGCUUGCUCCAGUGGAUUAGUGGCGAACGGGUGAGUAACACGUGAGCAAUCUGCCCUUGACUCUGGGAUAACUGCGGGAAACUGUAGCUAAUACCGGAUACGACACCUUGGGGCAUCCCGGGGUGUGGAAAGAAUUUCGGUCAAGGAUGAGCUCGCGGCCUAUCAGCUUGUUGGUGAGGUAAAGGCUCACCAAGGCGACGACGGGUAGCCGGCCUGAGAGGGUGACCGGCCACACUGGAACUGAGACACGGUCCAGACUCCUACGGGGGGCAGCAGUGGGGAAUAUUGCACAAUGGGCGAAAGCCUGAUGCAGCAACGCCGCGUUAGGGAUGACGGCCUUCGGGUUGUAAACCUCUUUUAGCAGGGAAGAAGCGAAAGUGACGGUACCUGCAGAAAAAGCACCGGCUAACUCUGUGCCAGCCGCCGCGGUAA
rnacentral:rRNA from 1 species